rnacentral:snRNA from 1 species
GACACAACCGCAUCUGCGUUCUGC